UAACAAUUGCAGACGGCUAAU
ensembl:piRNA 21ur-3501 ncRNA